rnacentral:rRNA from 1 species
AAAAGAACUUUGAAGAGAGAGUUCAAAAGGGCGUGAAACCGCUUAGAAUAAAACGGACGGAGCCGUCAGUGGCCUUCCGGAAUCAGUCUUAUGACGCGCGAUAAUGCGUCUCGCUAGAGCGAAAGUCUAGCGGGCGUAUUAGGAAAUAGUAGCGUUCAUUCGAUGCAUUUCCGGAGGGUAUGCGCCACGACCGAUGCGAAAGGCUAGUGAAUCCGGCGAAUUGAGGUGGAAUCCUUUCACGGGGUAUUCAGUACCAGUUCGUCGGCCUAUAGUCGCUAGAUCGCAGUAGGCAUCGAGCGCGGAAUUGAAUCGAACACUGGCAAAAAUGCUCGUUUAAGCGGUGGAUAGUCGGCGGAAUAUCCUGUACCUGCUCGCAGGUUAUGGGUAUCCCCGUUCGGCUUUUGAAAUCGCGGACGAGUUUAUAGUGCUCGGGCGUCGGUGGCGUCCGAGACGGUCAACCGUCCGACCCGUCUUGAAACACGGACCAAGGAGUCUAACGUAUGCGCGAGCUAAUGAGUGGAAAACUCAUAAGCGCAAUAAAAGUAAAAGCCGUUUCGGACGGCGUAGGGUACGAUCCCGGGGUAUUUAUUUAUCCAGGGCGCAGUACCAUCCCAUCCUGAUCGCUCGUCGAUAGGGUGGAGAUUGAGUGCAUAUGUUGGGACCCGAAAGAUGGUGAACUAUGCCUGAGCAGAGCGAAGCCAGAGGAAACUCUGGUGGAGGUUCGUAGCGGUUCUGACGUGCAAAUCGAUCGUCAGACUUGGGUAUAGGG